CGGGGGGAGCAAGCGUUGUUCGGAUUUACUGGGCGUAAAGGGCGCGUAGGCGGCCACGACAAGUCACUUGUGAAAUCUCCGGGCUUAACUCGGAACGGUCAAGUGAUACUGUCGGGCUAGAGUGCAGAAGGGGCAACUGGAAUUCUCGGUGUAGCGGUGAAAUGCGUAGAUAUCGAGAGGAACACCUGCGGCGAAGGCGGGUUGCUGGGCUGACACUGACGCUGAGGCGCGAAAGCCAGGGGGAGCGAACGGGAUUAGAUACCCCGGUAGUCCUGGCCUUAAACGAUGAAUGCUUGGUGUCUCGGGUUACAUAGUCCCGGGGUGCCGUCGCUAACGCUUUUAGCAUUCCGCCUGGGGAGUACGGUCGCAAGACUG
rnacentral:rRNA from 1 species